rnacentral:rRNA from 1 species
GACGAACCGAGCGAACGUUAUUCGGAAAUCACUGGGCUUAAAGGGGCGCGUGAGACGGGGCGGCCAAAGUCAGGGGUGAAAGCCCCAAGCGUCAAACUGGGGAAGUGCCUCUGAUACUGGCCGUCUCGAGCGAGGGUAGGGGCGUGCGGAAACUUCCGGUGGAGCGGGUGAAAUGACGUAGAUAUCGGAAGGAACACCGGGAUGGC